ensembl:lncRNA
CCCUACACCCUCGCCCCUACACCCUCGCCCCUACACCCUAGACCAUUUCACCAGGUCAAAUUCCUCAUACAUGUAAAUCAGGGUUUCUCGAAAGACGGAACAAUCAAAAAACCUUUUAGCCCAAAUAUUUUUUUUCUUCAUAAUAACAACAUUUUAAAUAUAUAUUUUAAUAAUAAACCAAAGUAUUAGCUAUCACACCUUUGUAAAGGAACAACCUCCUAAUGAUGACCUUUUUUUCAUAGUAAAACUCCUUCAGACAUGAAAGGCCUUAUGUUUUUACUGUCCGACGAGUGUUUAAUGGCCUUGUUUCCUUCUAACAUUGUAGCUUGUUUAAUGGCUUUGUUUCCUUCUAACAUUGUAGCUUGUUUAACAUUGUAGCUUGUUUAAUACAGAUCUCAAUGUCUUUUUUUGUGUUUGGUUUUAUACCAUUGUAUAAUUCUCCAGGGUUCAUUUCAUUAGCAUUUUUUGGAAUGUUUUUCUAGAUUAAGAAAAUUAAACAAGAUUUGUAAAGUUAGGUUUAUCCUGAUUUUCACAGCACAGCAAACAGUUCAAUAGUUUAAGCAUAUUUUGCAGGACUAUUAUUAACAUAUUGUUUCAGAAUAUAAAAUAUAAUAUAUAUAUAUGCAUAUACAUAUACUGUAUAUAUACUGUAUAUGUCUUAAGUGGGAUAGCAAUAAGUGACAGAGUUGACAAGGAACUGACGGAGGUGACGGAGGUGACGGAACUGAUGGAGGUGACGGAAGUGACGGAACUGACGGAACUGACGGAACUGACGGAGGUGACGGAAAUGACGGAGGUGACGGAAAUGACGGAGGUGACGGAACUGAUGGAGAUGACGGAAGUGACGGAACUGACGGAGGUGACGGAGGUGACGGAACUGACGGAGGUGACGGAACUGACGGAGGUGACGGAACUCACGGAGGUGACGGAACUGACGGAGGUGACGGAACUGACGGAACUGACGGAGGUGACGGAACUGACGGAGAUGACGGAACUGACGGAGAUGACGGAGGUGACGGAACUGACGGAACUGACGGAGGUGACGGAACUGACGGAGGUGACGGAACUGACGGAGGUGACGGAAGUGACAGAACUGACGGAACUGACGGAGGUGACGGAACUGACGGAACUGACGGAGGUGACGGAACUGACGGAAGUGACGGAACUGACGGAGGUGACGGAAAUGACGGAGGUGACGGAACUGAUGGAGGUGACGGAAGUGACGGAACUGACGGAGGUGACGGAGGUGACGGAACUGACGGAGGUGACGGAACUGACGGAGGUGACGGAACUGACGGAGGUGACAGGUGACGGAACUGACGGAACUGACGGAACUGACGGAGGUGACGGAGGUGACGGAACUGACAGAGGUGACGGAGGUGACAACUCAAAACAGACAUUUAUUUGUCGAUUAAAACAACAAAAAAGUUCAAUACAAAAAUGUGUAAAAUUAUUUUGUUUGAAAAAUCCCUCAAUAACAUGAUCAGAUCAAUAACAUGAUCAGAUCUUUCAGAUUUUCUGACAGAGUUGAUGUUGUACUAAUUGCAUAUUUUUUACUAAUUUAGUCAAGUGGUAUACUACGUAGCAAUUUUGUUUUUUGCUCAAUUGCUUUUUUUGGCUCUAAAACCUAAUUAAAUUUAACAUAUUCUACAUUAAUUUUAUACCUUUAUUUAACUAGGCAAGUCAGUUAAGAACAAAUUCUUAUUUUCAAUGACGGCCUAAGAACUGCAGUUUCAGGG